GCAUAUCAAUAAGCGGAGGAAAAAGAAACCAACAGGGAUUGCCCCAGUAACGGCGAGUGAAGCGGCAACAGCUCAAAUUUGAAAUCUGGCCCCCCGGCCCGAGUUGUAAUUUGGAGAGGAUGCUUCUGGCGCGGCGCCGUCCGAGUUCCUUGGAACAGGACGCCACAGAGGGUGAGAGCCCCGUACGGACGGACGCCUAGCCUCUACGAAGCUCCUUCGACGAGUCGAGUAGUUUGGGAAUGCUGCUCAAAAUGGGAGGUAAAUUUCUUCUAAAGCUAAAUACCGGCCAGAGACCGAUAGCGCACAAGUAGAGUGAUCGAAAGAUGAAAAGCACUUUGAAAAGAGGGUUAAAAAGUACGUGAAAUUGUUGAAAGGGAAGCGCCUGUGACCAGACUUGCGCCCCGCGGACCACCCGGCGUUCUCGCCGGUGCACUCUGCGGUGCGCAGGCCAGCAUCGGUUCUCCCAGGGGGACAAAGGCCGCGGGAACGUAGCUCCUUCGGGAGUGUUAUAGCCCGCGGCGGCAUGCCCCUGGGGGGACCGAGGACCGCGCUUCGGCAAGGAUGCUGGCGUAAUGGUCACCAGCGACCCGUCUUGAAACACGGACCAAGGAGUCAAGCAUUGGGGCGAGUGUAUGGGUGCCAAACCCGCACGCGAAAUGAAAGUAAACGCAGGUGAGAGCUUCGGCGCAUCAUCGACCGAUCCUGAUGUCUUCGGAUGGAUUUGAGUAAGAGCCUUACCGCUUGGACCCGAAAGAUGGUGAACUAUGCCUGAAUAGGGUGAAGCCAGAGGAAACUCUGGUGGAGGCUCGCAGCGGUUCUGACGUGCAAAUCGAUCGUCAAAUUUGGGCAUGGGGGCGGAAAGACUAAUCGAACCAUCUAGUAGCUGGUUACCGCCGAAGUUUCCC
rnacentral:rRNA from 1 species